GUGAGGCACGGACUCCAGAAAGGCCCCUCAGGAAGGCAGCAGUGCAUGGCGACUCUUUGUCCCCUCGUCCAACUCCUGAUCUAUCUGCUUGCCUAUUCCUGUGUGUACUCCUGUUUGUACCUGUUGAUUUAUUUCUUUAGCAUCUUAGUAGAAGACUAGGUAGCUGGGCUGGACAGAGCAAAGCCUUACCUACCACUCAAGAAAUGACCAAUUUCUUUUGAAGGCUGUACCCUGGAGGAAUCCAAAGGAUUCAUCAGACAAACAAAUUCCAAAGUGCCACCACCAAGUUUUUUUCCUUAAGAAAUACAUCAAGCAUCUGAUUCACUGCUGAUCAAUUCUCUGUACCUGCCUAGAAGACAGAUGACCCGAUGACCAGGGAGAAUGUUUCUCAGUUGUUAUAAAAAUCCCGAGUGUCUGCUUUGUUCCAGUGAGCACAUGAAGGCUUUCCUCUCCAGCUUGUCAUAGAUUGGGGCUGCUUUUUUCAAGUGUUUUAUAAUAAUUUUUGGCUUUUCACCCUUCUGCAUUCU